UAGUCUACGCCGUAAACGAUGGAUACUAGUUGUUUGAUCUUCGGAUUGAGUGACUAAGCGAAAGUGAUAAGUAUCCCACCUGGGGAGUACGUUCGCAAGAAUGAAACUCAAAGGAAUUGACGGGGGCCCGCACAAGCGGUGGAGCAUGUGGUUUAAUUCGAUGAUACGCGGGGAACCUUACCAGGGCUUAAAUGUAGUCUGACAGCUUCAGAGAUAGAGUUUUCUUCGGACAGAUUACAAGGUGCUGCAUGGUUGUCGUCAGCUCGUGCCGUGAGGUGUCAGGUUAAGUCCUAUAACGAGCGCAACCCCUGUUGUUAGUUGCCAGCGAGUAAUGUCGGGAACUCUAGCAAGACUGCCGGUGCAAACCGCGAGGAAGGUGGGGAUGACGUCAAAUCAUCACGGCCCUUACGUCCUGGGCCACACACGUGCUACAAUGGUAGGUACAGAGAGCAGCUACCUGGUGACAGGAUGCUAAUCUCUAAAGCCGUUCUCAGUUCGGAUCG
rnacentral:rRNA from 1 species